GCAUACUUAGCUCAAUGGUUAGAGUGUCCACCUAGUGUUUGGAGGUUGUGGGUUCAAAUCCUGCAGUGUGCA
rnacentral:tRNA from 1 species